UGCUCUCCAGUUUCACUUGGAAAAUAACUCAACCAUUCCCUGAAGCUGCGCUCCAAGAUAUGCAGCUUCAAGCUAGGGAGAAGGCAAAAUGAGAAAUCCAUGAUACCAAUCCAAAGAGGAUGGAGAAGUCACUGUGGGAUCUUGCUGCAGUGCUUCAAAGCACAGGAGCAGGAGUAAUCCACCUUCUUGAAAGGGAAUCUCCACCUCCUUUGCAAACUUGUCGAGGGACCUCUGAAGAUUAUUUAGAAAGACCAUUCAUAAGGACAAUUCAAACUACUAUUCAUAUCUCUCCAGCUAACAAUGAUUAAUUUGCUUAUGGGUGAGUGUACUGGGAAAUUCAGCUGAGAGUGAAUACUAUGGAGAAGCUGGAAAAACAAAGCAAUUCACAACAUGCAGGGGGUAAUGGUACCACAGCAGUGAAUGUGACAAAGUUAAUCUUCUAAAUCUACAGAAGGAAGAAAUUCCUUUUUCACAAAGUUCAUUGCCUAAACAAUGGAAAAAAAUAAGAUGGAGUCUACUGGAUUCUACAAAAGGAACAUGUUAGUCAGACCAAUGCAUCCUCAAUGGCACUCCCUCAUUGUUACUGCGGACACGCUAAUGUUAACCAGCCUGAUCUUUUCUUAGUUCAACA